AUUGAACGCUGGCGGCAUGCCCUACACAUGCACGUCGACCGGCAGCACGGCGCUUGCUCUGGCGGCGAGUGGCGAACGGGUGAGUAAUCUAUCGGAACGUACCCACGAGUGGGGGAUAACGUAUCGACUGUUACGCUAAUAACGCAUUCGAUCUAAGGAUGAACGCGGGGGAUCGCAAGAACUACUGCUCCUGGAGCGUCCGAUAUCUGAUUAGCUAGUUGGUGAGGUAAAGGCGCACCAAGGCAUCGAUCAGUAGCUGGUCUGAGAGUACGACCAGCCACACUGGAACUGAGACACGGUCCAGACUCCGACGGGAGGCAGCAGUGGGGAAUUUUGGACAAUGGGGGCAACCCUGAUCCAGCAAUGCCGCGUGAGUGAAGAAGGCCUUCGGGUUGUAAAGCUCUUUUGUCAGGGAAGAAACGGUGAAGGCUAAUAUCCUUUGCUAAUGACGGUACCUGAAGAAUAAGCACCGGCUAACUACGUGCCAGCCGCCGCCGUAACAC
rnacentral:rRNA from 1 species